GACGAACGCUGGCGGCGUGCUUAACACAUGCAAGUCGAACGGUAAGGCCCUUCGGGGUACACGAGUGGCGAACGGGUGAGUAACACGUGGGUGAUCUGCCCUGCACUUUGGGAUAAGUCUGGGAAACUGGGUCUAAUACCGGAUAGGACCACGGCCUGCAUGGGUUGUGGUGGAAAGCUUUUGCGGUGUGGGAUGGGCCCGCGGCCUAUCAGCUUGUUGGUGGGGUGAUGGCCUACCAAGGCGACGACGGGUAGCCGGCCUGAGAGGGUGUCCGGCCACACUGGGACUGAGAUACGGCCCAGACGCCUACGGGAGGCAGCAGUGGGGAAUAUUGCACAAUGGGCGCAAGCCUGAUGCAGCGACGCCGCGUGGGGGAUGACGGCCUUCGGGUUGUAAACCUCUUUCACCAGGGACGAAGCGCAAGUGACGGUACCUGGAGAAGAAGCACCGGCCAACUACGUGCCAGCAGCCGCCGUAA
rnacentral:rRNA from 1 species